CAUGAUUUACAUCCCAAAGCCUCACUCGCGGAGCAUGUCGCCAGGCUGCAACGCCAUGUGCCGCCGGGCGCUGCCGCGUCGCGUCGUCUCGGUGGCCCUUAUCCUCUUAACCGUCGCCUUGUGUUCGCCGCCGACGCGGCGCUCACCGGCAGCGGCAGAAGCAGCGGGGCAUCACUUCGCCAUGGACAAUAGGCAGACUCUUCAAGUGGAAGACACUGCAAGUGAAGAAAAUGACACUGAAAUUUCUAUAGUCAAGGAUGCUUUAAAGUAUUUCGAUGCCGAUUUUUUCAAUGAUUCAAAGGUGAAAGAAAUGAUGAAGGGUGCAAAAGAGUUCAACUUACCUAUGUUCAGAGUGAACCGUAGGCUGGUUGCUUUUGAAGAUGGGGGAUUGCAUAAUCCAUCAGUUUUGGUGUUCAAUUCAUCGUGGGGCAGCAAAGAAGCACCUCAUAAUAAUAGAAAAUUCAACUAUUCUCCUUUGUCUGGGAUAAAGAGGCCAAGUAGUGAAGAAGAUAUUGCAUUCAUGUCUGUACUUGAACUAGGAGAACUUAUUAGGACCAAACAAAUUACUUCGUGCGAGCUUACUGAUAUAUUCCUUCGAAGAUUAAGAAGGUACAAUCAUGUUCUUGAAGCUGUGAUUUCAUUUACUGAAGACUUAGCACACAGUCAGGCUACAAAGGCAGAUGAGUUGCUGGCCCAAGGAACAUAUUUGGGUCCUCUUCAUGGAAUUCCUUAUGGACUGAAAGACAUUAUAGCAGUACCCCACUAUAAGACCACUUGGGGUUCAAAAACGUUCGAGGAUCAAAUUCUUGACAUUGAAGCUUGGGUCUACAAAAGGCUAAAGUCUGCUGGAGCUGUUCUUGUAGCAAAGCUUGUUUCAGGAUCACUAGCCUAUGACGAUAUCUGGUUUGGGGGAAGGACCAGAAACCCUUGGAAUAUUGCUGAAUUCUCUACUGGUUCAUCAGCAGGACCAGCAGCCAGCACAUCUGCAGGCAUGGUUCCAUUUGCGAUUGGCUCGGAAACCGCUGGGUCAAUAACUUACCCUGCUGCUCGUUGUGGAAUAACUGGCUUGCGCCCGACUUUUGGGACUGUUGGUCGAAGUGGUGUCAUGAGCAUAUCUGAGAGUUUGGUAGACAAGCUUGGUCCUUUCUGCAGAAGUGCCGCAGACUGUGCUCUUAUAAUAGAUGCCAUUAGAGGAAAGGAUCCAGAUGACCCUUCAUCUCGUAAUGUUGCUCUCGAAGACCCAUUUCAAGUUGACAUCCAAAAACUAACUGUUGGUUAUCUUGAAGAUGCUGAGAUGGAGGUUGUUUAUGUUCUUUCGUCAAAGGGUGUUAAUUGUGUUCCUUUCAAGCUAAAUUACACAGUUGAAUCAGUUCAGGCAAUUCUCAAUUUUACAAUGGAUGUUGAUAUGCUGUCCCACUUUGACAAGUGGCAGCGCUCAGGACAUGAUGAUGAGUACGAAGCGCAAGAUCAGUGGCCAGUAGAGCUGCGACGUGCCCGUUUGAUACCUGCCGUAGACUAUCUGCAGGCACAAAGGGUACGAGGGAAGCUGAUAAAGGAAGUUUGUGGGAGUUUUACUGUAGAUGCAUUCAUUGGCAAUGCAACUGAUUGGGAGAGGGUCUGCUUGGGAAAUCUUGUCGGUAUGCCUGUAAUUGUUGUUCCAACAGGUUUCAAAAGCAUUGAAGAUCCACCUAAAGGUGGUACCAGAAGAAGAACCACAAUAACUACAGGCAUAUAUGCGCCUCCUGACCAUGAUCACAUUGCUCUAGCAUUAGCUAUGGCAUACCAAUCAGCCACCAAUCACCACAAACAACGGCCACCUAUUGAUGACCUUGGCCCAAAUGACGUGGUUCCGACUCCUGGGACAUCAUUGUGUUGUGAUCCCUUCGACAAUUCAUGUUUAUGCUUCCAGCGCGGUUGUUGGUUGGCUGAGUCUUUUAAAUCUUUGCGAAAAUUCUGAAUUGCAAGUAGGAUAAUACAUCAAUGCGAGUACACUAUCUCGAACAGUUCUUCAACCAAUGCUCUACGAUCGCAUGCUACGUCGGUGCGAAAACAGAAGAUCAAUGCAGCUGGCAGUGUAUACCAAGAAUGAGCACCUGGUUUUUUUGCAAUACAUGUAGGGAGAUCAGCUGUUUAUUUGGAGUUUUAGUACCUGUUUUGGCCCUUCGUUAUGGGCAAGAUACCAAUCGACUGAACUAAUAAUUUCUUUUAAGAAAAGGAAUGGAAGGAAAAAGAUUCUUCUCACUAUUUGAAAGAAUCA